UUGAACGCUGGCGGCAGGCCUAACACAUGCAAGUCGAACGGUAACAGGAAGCAGCUUGCUGCUUUGCUGACGAGUGGCGGACGGGUGAGUAAUGUCUGGGAAACUGCCUGAUGGAGGGGGAUAACUACUGGAAACGGUAGCUAAUACCGCAUAACGUCGCAAGACCAAAGAGGGGGACCUUCGGGCCUCUUGCCAUCGGAUGUGCCCAGAUGGGAUUAGCUAGUAGGUGGGGUAACGGCUCACCUAGGCGACGAUCCCUAGCUGGUCUGAGAGGAUGACCAGCCACACUGGAACUGAGACACGGUCCAGACUCCUACGGGAGGCAGCAGUGGGGAAUAUUGCACAAUGGGCGCAAGCCUGAUGCAGCCAUGCCGCGUGUAUGAAGAAGGCCUUCGGGUUGUAAAGUACUUUCAGCGGGGAGGAAGGGAGUAAAGUUAAUACCUUUGCUCAUUGACGUUACCCGCAGAAGAAGCACCGGCUAACUCCGUGCCAGCAGCCGCGGUAAUACGGAGGGUGCAAGCGUUAAUCGGAAUUACUGGGCGUAAAGCGCACGCAGGCGGUUUGUUAAGUCAGAUGUGAAAUCCCCGGGCUCAACCUGGGAACUGCAUCUGAUACUGGCAAGCUUGAGUCUCGUAGAGGGGGGUAGAAUUCCAGGUGUAGCGGUGAAAUGCGUAGAGAUCUGGAGGAAUACCGGUGGCGAAGGCGGCCCCCUGGACGAAGACUGACGCUCAGGUGCGAAAGCGUGGGGAGCAAACAGGAUUAGAUACCCUGGUAGUCCACGCCGUAAACGAUGUCGACUUGGAGGUUGUGCCCUUGAGGCGUGGCUUCCGGAGCUAACGCGUUAAGUCGACCGCCUGGGGAGUACGGCCGCAAGGUUAAAACUCAAAUGAAUUGACGGGGGCCCGCACAAGCGGUGGAGCAUGUGGUUUAAUUCGAUGCAACGCGAAGAACCUUACCUGGUCUUGACAUCCACGGAAGUUUUCAGAGAUGAGAAUGUGCCUUCGGGAACCGUGAGACAGGUGCUGCAUGGCUGUCGUCAGCUCGUGUUGUGAAAUGUUGGGUUAAGUCCCGCAACGAGCGCAACCCUUAUCCUUUGUUGCCAGCGGUCCGGCCGGGAACUCAAAGGAGACUGCCAGUGAUAAACUGGAGGAAGGUGGGGAUGACGUCAAGUCGUCAUGGCCCUUACGACCAGGGCUACACACGUGCUACAAUGGCGCAUACAAAGAGAAGCGACCUCGCGAGAGCAAGCGGACCUCAUAAAGUGCGUCGUAGUCCGGAUUGGAGUCUGCAACUCGACUCCAUGAAGUCGGAAUCGCUAGUAAUCGUGGAUCAGAAUGCCACGGUGAAUACGUUCCCGGGCCUUGUACACACCGCCCGUCACACCAUGGGAGUGGGUUGCAAAAGAAGUAGGUAGCUUAACCUUCGGGAGGGCGCUUACCACUUUGUGAUUCAUGACUGGGGUG
rnacentral:rRNA from 1 species